GUGCCAGCAGCCGCGGUAAAACGUAGGAGACAAACGUUAUCCGGAGUUACUGGGCGUAAAGGGCGUGCAGGCGGUUUCUUAAGUUCGUCGUGAAAUCGCCCGGCUUAACCGGGCGGGGUCGAUGGAUACUGGGAGACUUGAGGGCGGUAGAGGCGUGUGGAAUUCCGGGUGUAGUGGUGAAAUGCGUAGAUAUCCGGAGGAACACCAGUGGCGAAGGCGACACGCUGGGCCGUACCUGACGCUAAGACGCGACAGCAUGGGGAGCGAACGGGAUUAGAAACCCGCGUAGUCC
rnacentral:rRNA from 1 species